UCCCCUCUAGGCUCAACUUUAAAGUUACAAAAACAGGAAUAAACCUCCCUCUUAGGAUAGGGAAAAUUCACAAGCUAAAACAGAAGAUAAUCUAAUGCAUUUCCUUGCUAUUAUUUACAAUUUCUGUCAUUUUAGAUGUAUCAUUCAGAAGGAGCUG